AUGAACGCUAGCGGCAGGCUUAAUACAUGCAAGUCGAGGGGCAGCAGGACUGUAGCAAUACAGUUGCUGGCGACCGGCAAACGGGUGCGGAACACGUACGCAACCUACCCAAAACUGGGGGAUAGCCCGGGGAAACCCGGAUUAAUACCUCGUAACCUUUUUAAGUGGCAUCACUUGAUAAGUAUAGCUCCGGCGGUUUUGGAUGGGCGUGCGCCUGAUUAGGUAGUUGGUGCGGGUAACGGCCCACCAAGCCUGCGAUCAGUAACUGGUGUGAGAGCACGACCAGUCACACGGGCACUGAGACACGGGCCCGACUCCUACGGGAGGCAGCAGUAAGGAAUAUUGGUCAAUGGACGCAAGUCUGAACCAGCCAUGCCGCGUGAAGGAUGAAGGUCCUCUGGAUUGUAAACUUCCUUUAUGGGGUACGAAACCCGGAUAUUCUUAUCCGAUUGACGGUACCUCAGGAAUAAGCACCGGCUAACUCCGUG
rnacentral:rRNA from 1 species